rnacentral:ncRNA from 1 species
AAGUGCGAUCAGAUACCGCCCUAGUUCUAACCAUAAACGAUGCCAACCAGCAAUCCGUCGGAGUUACUCCAAUGACUCGACGUGGCAGCUUCCGGGAAACCAAAGUCUUUGGGUUCCGGGGGAAGUAUGGUUGCAAAGCUGAAACUUAAAGGAAUUUGACGGAAGUGCACCACCAGGAGUGGAGCCUGCGGCUUAAUUUGACUCAACACGGGAAACCUCACCAGGCCCGGACACUGGAAGGAUUGACAGAUUGAGAGCUCUUUCUUGAUUCGGUGGGUGGUGGUGCAUGGCCGUUCUUAGUUGGUGGAGCGAUUUGUCUGGUUAAUUCCGAUAACGAACGAGACUCUAGCCUGCUAAAUAGGUGACGGGUUUUAUCAAUUGAAACCGAAGGGAGUACGGAGGCGUCGGGAUCAGGUGGCGGCGAUUCGGGUCUCGGUGGGACUGGUUCCUUUAGUGAGGCAAUCUCUCGGCUUGGUUUCGUUGUGCUUUGUUCGUCGGGUGUACGGCCUUCACGGGUUGGUUGCCUGGCGGAUGAGGUAUGGCGGGGCUUUGUCGGGAAUGUCUCGCGGGGGCUGGCUCUAUUGUUAUUCGGUCGUCGUCAUCCCCGGCGAUACCUUCUGCUCUCGCGUCCGUCACGCAGUCUUCUUAGAGGGACAAGCGGCGUCCAGCCGCGUGACAGUGAGCAAUAACAGGUCUGUGAUGCCCUUAGAUGUCCUGGGCCGCACGCGCGCUACACUGAAGGAAUCAGCGUGUUUCACUCUCCCUGUCCGAAAGGACCGGGUAACCGCUGAACCUCCUUCGUGGUUGGGAUUGGGGACUGCAAUGAUCCCCAUGAACCAGGAAUCCCUAGUAGGCGCGGGUCACUAGCCCGCGUCGAUUACGUCCCUGCCCUUUGUACACACCGCCCGUCGCUACUACCGAUUGAAUGAUUUAGUGAGGCCUUCGGACGGGCUUGUCGGGGUGCCGUCGAGUGGGGAGCAAUCUCUGCCCGUGCGGUGCCUACCAACGGCGAGACUGAAAGAUGGUCGAACUUGAUCCUUUAG